rnacentral:rRNA from 1 species
GACGAACGCUGGCGGCGUGCCUAAUACAUGCAAGUAGAACGCACAGUUUAUACCGUAGCUUGCUACACCAUAGACUGUGAGUUGCGAACGGGUGAGUAACGCGUAGGUAACCUGCCUGGUAGCGGGGGAUAACUAUUGGAAACGAUAGCUAAUACCGAAUAAUAUUAAUUAUUGCUGGAUAAUUAAUGGAAAGGGGCAAUUGACCAACUACAAGAUGGACCUGCGUUGUAUUAGCUAGUAGGUGAGGUAACGGCUCACCUAGGCGACGAUACAUAGCCGACCUGAGAGGGUGAUCGGCCACACUGGGACUGAGACACGGCCCAGACUCCUACGGGAGGCAGCAGUAGGGAAUCUUCGGCAAUGGACGAAAGUCUGACCGAGCAACGCCGCGUGAGUGAAGAAGGUUUUCGGAUCGUAAAGCUCUGUUGUAAGAGAAGAACGGGUGUGAGAGUGGAAAGUUCACACUGUGACGGUAUCUUACCAGAAAGGGACGGCUAACUACGUG